rnacentral:rRNA from 1 species
UACGUAGGUGGCGAGCGUUGUCCGGAUUUACUGGGCGUAAAGAGCGCGCAGGCGGUCGUGCAAGUCGCGUGUGAAAGCCCCCGGCUCAACUGGGGAGGGUCACGCGAUACUGCUCGACUCGAAGGCAGGAGAGGGAAGUGGAAUUCCCGGUGUAGUGGUGAAAUGCGUAGAUAUCAGGAGGAACACCGGUGGCGAAGGCGGAUCUCUGGGCCUUACCUGACGCUCAGGUGCGAAAGCUAGGGGAGCGAACAGG